rnacentral:rRNA from 1 species
GUCUUUUUGAUUAAUAAUUUAAAGUCUAAUCUGCCCACUGAUAAUAUAUUAAAGGGCUGCAGUAUUUUGACUGUACAAAGGUAGCAUAAUCAUUAGUCUCUUAAUUGGUGACUUGUAUGAAGGAUUUGAUGAAAUAUAUACUGUCUCUUUUUGAUUUAUAAAAUUUAAUUUUUUGGUUAAAAAGCUAAAAUUUAUUUAAAAGACGAGAAGACCCUAUAGAGUUUUAUAUUUAUAUAAAUUAAAAUUUUUUAUAAGAUUUAAAAUUUCAAUUUAUAUAAAUAUUUUAUUGGGGUGAUAGAAAAAUUAAAAUAACUUUUUUUAUAAUUUUACAUUAAUAAAUGAAUAAAUGAUCCGUAAUUUACGAUUAUAAGAUAAAAUUACCUUAGGGAUAACAGCGUAAUUUUUUUUUUUAGUUCAAAUAAGAAAAAAAGUUUGCGACCUCGAUGUUGGAUUAAGAUAAAAUUUAAAUGCAAAAGUUUAAAAUUUUUGAUCUGUUCGAUCAUUAAAAUCUUACA